rnacentral:rRNA from 1 species
UUUUUAUGAGAGUUUGAUCCUGGCUCAGGAUGAACGCUGGCGGCGUGCUUAACACAUGCAAGUCGAGCGGAGCACAUCAUUGGAAUCCUUCGGGAGGAAGAGGAUGUGGCUUAGCGGCGGACGGGUGAGUAACGCGUGGACAACCUGCCCUAUGCAGGG